ACCCUAAUUUUGAUAUCCAUUUUUCUGGCCGUCUCACUCCGAAUCUCAACGAAGACAUCAAUCUUUCAUCAUCGCGAACCCUAAUUGCAUCAACAAUCAUCGAGCAUGAGCAUAAUCUGGUGUAAGUUAUUGAUUCUUGGUAUGAAUAUCUCAUCAACUUCUCAUUCGUCCACUAGGUGAUUGUUUACAUUAUCCCGGUUUGAAUAUCGCUCAUCCUCUUCUUCAUCGUUUCUGAAGUGUUGAGAUCUAUCUUAUAUAUCUUGACAUUUGGUUUUCUUGGUUUCCAUUAUUUCAGUUGUCAACGUUUGUUCCGUUCGUCGUUCAAUGGAUUUUGUGUUACAAGGGUUGAUUUGUGGUUUAUGUCAGACUAAUCUGAGGUUUAAUUUGUUUUCUUGUCAGAGUGCGUUACAUAUUUUAGAUUUGGAUUAAUUUUACUGUUUUUUUUACGUUUUAAGAGUUGUUGGUUGCAGGAGUCUUAGGAAUUAGGGUUUUGUUUCGGUACCUGUUUUCAAAUCGACCGAUUAUGCUUUAUAUUUUUAUGCAACUCUCUUACCGAUUCUUCUUACUUCUUGAUAUCUAGGUUUUUUUUUGUUUCAAAUUAAGGUAUGUUUUUAACAAAUUUGGUUCAAUGGCAUAUAGAAACAUUCUACGCUAUCGUAGUCCAGUUAAGAUUUGUUGUUAAACAGACAUUUGCAAGCGUCGUCGAAGAACUUAUCGAAGCGAGGACUCACUUUCAAUCUAAAGAGUCAAAGAAAUCACAUAUGGAUAAUUUGGCGAGGAAUACAUUAUCAUCGAUGCAAAUAGCGAGGUUAGUAGCACACAACCAGUUGAGGUGAAUUCAUCGAAUACGCGUGCAUGCCUCACAGUGUCCCAAACUUCUUUCUUGGUUUUUGGUGGGUUUUUGCAGCAGAAAAAGCCUACUGCAAAGUGAGAAGUUGGGAGAGAUGCUCACUUUAUGUUUACACGGAUCUGGAGUGGCUGUGCGGAGGGGCAAUGUAGGCGGUUAGAGGUUAGGAUGAUCCGGUUUCACAGCCGUCGGUUGUGACUGGUGGUGUUUAUGGAGAAGACGGACUAGGGUUACACUUUGAACCCUCGACAGCGGCGAUGAUUUUUCAAGGUUACGCUCUGGAGAUAUCGCCGGAUUCAACGAACACUUCGAGCCAACAAAAGUGGAAAGCUUAUAUGGUGAGUUCGUUGAUGGUGGUGAAGUGAAAUUCCGGCAAGACUUUUAGUCCAAUAGCAGUGGAGAUAGGAUUUUCCAGUAACACUUUUAGUCAUUGAUUGGUCAUUUAUUUUAAACUAUUUAAAGAGGUUUGCUGGCUGUUAAGAUCCAAGUACAUCUCAAAACAACUUCGGUCACCUGUGGGAUCACCGGAGCAGUCAACAUGGACUCUAAUGGAUCAACGAGUGCCAAAACGGAUGACCAUAAUAAGAAAAUAACGAUAGCGAGUCGGGAUACUGCUCCACAUCAUGGUGGCCUAAAAGGUCUGAGGUGAUUUUGCUUUAGCAGAGCAAUAUUGGCAGCUCCUAUGAUGGAAAUGUUUUGUAGAGGUAACUGGUAUAAUGAAUGCAGUCUAAAGUUCUCUCUUCUUUUCUGAGGCUUCCUUAUCUUCAACUAUCCGUUCUCUCUGGUAAUGAGUUCCUAUUAAUUUGCAUAAAUUCUAUGAACACAACCAAAAUGACUUUAUGUACAAAAUGGAGAAGCUUAAUGUUGGUUACUCUUGAACCCACCGCCUCCGCUUCCUCGGUGGGUUAUUUGGUAGUGAUGCUGACACGGUCUAACGACCACCACUGCCUUGCGAAAAAAAUUCUUUGGUGAUGCAUAUAUACAUUGUUGUUUUGAUUUGUGUGGCUUGACCUUUUAAGUCAAUUCAUGUUUUAAAAAAAUGCUCAUAAUCUUGUGGGACACAUGGCAUCUUGUGAAGCCUCCUCACAUUGAUUUGAGCGGGAAAACAAGUGAGUCGAAAUUACUUUUAUAUGGGCUGAGGCGCGGUGCCCAUACCCAUUUUUUACCCGGUUAUAUAAAGUAUGUAAUAACCCUAAUUCCCCAUUCUACCCUUCAGGCCGUUUAUGGAUGCUCAUACGUUCUUUUACAAAAACCCCUCUUUCUCUUCUGCUUCAACCUCUGCAAUAACCUAAACCCUCAUUCACGCUUCCUGGGUAUCGCUAUGAAGUUCAAUUGAUUCAUGAAAAUGAGAUAUUUUUUUUUCAAACCUUUCAGCCGAUCUCGCCCAUCGUUGUGAUUCAAAGGAAGAAGCAGUUACGAUUAAGUUUAGGCCUUUAAGGUAAUUUGAUUUUUAUCCGUAAUGUUUUAUAAUAGGUAUCAAAUUCCCAACGCAUGCGCGGCAUGAAAAGUUUGUAAUACACAUUCGAUCUUAUUAGUUGUAUUUUUUUAAUGAUUCAGCUUGCGACUUGUAUAAAUUUAAAUUGAUAUAGAAACAAUAUGUAUGGAUUCUUUAUACGUAUAACUUUUGAAAACA